rnacentral:rRNA from 1 species
AUGUCAAUUGUAGAAUAUGAUGAUGUGUUACAAAUCAUCCAUGAACUUAUGCCUCCGGGUGCUAACUUAUCCAAGGACUUCUACCAAUCUAAGAAACUCUUAGAAGGCCUUGGUAUGCCUUAUGUCAUGAUUGAUGUCUGUAAAAAUAACUGCAUGUUGUACUAUAAAGAUAAUGAGCAUAAAGAGAAGUGUGACAUCUGCGGUACAUCUCGCUAA